AUUGAACGCUGGCGGCAUGCCUUACACAUGCAAGUCGAACGGUAACGGGUCCUUCGGGAUGCCGACGAGUGGCGAACGGGUGAGUAAUAUAUCGGAACGUGCCCAGUAGUGGGGGAUAACUGCUCGAAAGAGCAGCUAAUACCGCAUACGACCUGAGGGUGAAAGGGGGGGAUCGCAAGACCUCUCGCUAUUGGAGCGGCCGAUAUCAGAUUAGCUAGUUGGUGGGGUAAAGGCCUACCAAGGCAACGAUCUGUAGUUGGUCUGAGAGGACGACCAGCCACACUGGGACUGAGACACGGCCCAGACUCCUACGGGAGGCAGCAGUGGGGAAUUUUGGACAAUGGGCGCAAGCCUGAUCCAGCAAUGCCGCGUGCAGGAAGAAGGCCUUCGGGUUGUAAACUGCUUUUGUCAGGGAAGAAAUCUUCUGGGCUAAUACCCCGGGAGGAUGACGGUACCUGAAGAAUAAGCACCGGCUAACUACGUGCCAGCAGCCGCGGUAAUACGUAGGGUGCGAGCGUUAAUCGGAAUUACUGGGCGUAGAGCGUGCGCAGGCGGCUUUGCAAGACAGAUGUGAAAUCCCCGGGCUCAACCUGGGAACUGCAUUUGUGACUGCAAGGCUAGAGUACGGCAGAGGGGGAUGGAAUUCCGCGUGUAGCAGUGAAAUGCGUAGAUAUGCGGAGGAACACCAAUGGCGAAGGCAAUCCCCUGGGCCUGUACUGACGCUCAUGCACGAAAGCGUGGGGAGCAAACAGGAUUAGAUACCCUGGUAGUCCACGCCCUAAACGAUGUCAACUGGUUGUUGGACGGCUUGCUGUUCAGUAACGAAGCUAACGCGUGAAGUUGACCGCCUGGGGAGUACGGCCGCAAGGUUGAAACCCAAAGGAAUUGACGGGGACCCGCACAAGCGGUGGAUGAUGUGGUUUAAUUCGAUGCAACGCGAAAAACCUUACCUACCCUUGACAUGUCAAGAAUUCUGCAGAGAUGUGGAAGUGCUCGAAAGAGAACUUGAACACAGGUGCUGCAUGGCCGUCGUCAGCUCGUGUCGUGAGAUGUUGGGUUAAGUCCCGCAACGAGCGCAACCCUUGUCAUUAGUUGCUACGCAAGAGCACUCUAAUGAGACUGCCGGUGACAAACCGGAGGAAGGUGGGGAUGACGUCAGGUCCUCAUGGCCCUUAUGGGUAGGGCUACACACGUCAUACAAUGGCCGGUACAGAGGGCUGCCAACCCGCGAGGGGGAGCCAAUCCCAGAAAACCGGUCGUAGUCCGGAUCGUAGUCUGCAACUCGACUGCGUGAAGUCGGAAUCGCUAGUAAUCGCGGAUCAGCUUGCCGCGGUGAAUACGUUCCCGGGUCU
rnacentral:rRNA from 1 species